AUGUACACGGAGGAGGAGGCCAAGGAAGCAAGAGAAGACGGCGUCGACCUACUGGAAGAAGGCCGGCUGUUAGCACUCAGCCGGUCCGCCAUCUACCAGCAAGGGCUGCGCCGCUACUACAACCGCAAGGUCAAGCCAAGAUCCUUCCAAGAGGGCGACCUUGUGCUCCGGCUGAUACAGCGAACAGCCGGCCAGCACAAGCUCUCGGCCCCUUGGGAAGGCCCCUUCGUCAUCAGCAAGGCACUAGGCAACGACUCCUACUACCUGAUCGACGCGCAAAAACCAAGAGCACGCAAGAGAGACGACUCCGGCAAGGAGUCGGAGCGACCAUGGAACGCAAACCUCCUGAGAAUAUUUUACAGUUGA
rnacentral:rRNA from 1 species